UAAAUCCUAAGCAUUUUUUAGUUCUAGUUUCUUGUUGGCAACCUGAACAAUAUUGUUCAGCAUUGUCCUUUCAUUCUUGAGGAGUUAAUAUCUAUGUAUUAAGUGUAAUCACGAUUGAACGAAUGAGAGUAACGCUUGAUGAGUUAUAUGUGAGGGGAACAUCUAAGUAUAAAAUAAUCCAAAGUGGUUAAGAAAGACGGAGAAUAACAAAGAGGUUUUUCUCUGGAAUUAUAAGUAAGUCCAUGUUAUACUCUGAGUAGAAUUUCAAACCAACAUCAGAGUAAUUCUAGCCUAAUAUAUAAGGAGUAGGAUUUGUGUUUAUUUUCUUCCUGCAAGGGAAGGUGGUUAAAACAAACAAUAGAUAUGAAAUAACUAAGAAAGAAACGUCAAUCCUAAUGGCAUGGCUCUGUUUGGGAUGAUGAUGAUUUCUUAAAUUUUUUGGAUUUAGAAGAAAUUAAGAAUAUUGUAUUUUUACUCUUUUGGGAGUAAUUCUCCUUCAAUUUUGUUGGAAAAAAAUACUUGAAUUGCAAGAUAAGCGUAUUGAGCUACUUGACGAAAUACCGAUCAGACAAUGAUCCAGCUGGCAAAAGACGAAUUAAGAAAUUUUUCGAAUAAACUCAUGAAUAAAUAGUUGAUAUAUUUAAAAUAUUUAAUUUUUAUUAUUAAAAUAUAUGAUGAAUAAGUAUAUAAACAUUU
rnacentral:lncRNA from 1 species